GGUAUAGACCCGAAACCCGGUGAUCUAGCCAUGGGCAGGUUGAAGGUUGGGUAACACUAACUGGAGGACCGAACCGACUAAUGUUGAAAAAUUAGCGGAUGACUUGUGGCUGGGGGUGAAAGGCCAAUCAAACCGGGAGAUAGCUGGUUCUCCCCGAAAGCUAUUUAGGUAGCGCCUCGUGAACUCAUCUUCGGGGGUAGAGCACUGUUUCGGCUAGGGGGUCAUCCCGACUUACCAACCCGAUGCAAACUACGAAUACCGAAGAAUGUUAUCACGGGAGACACACGGCGGGUGCUAACGUCCGUCGUGAAGAGGGAAACAACCCAGACCGCCAGCUAAGGUCCCAAAGUCAUGGUUAAGUGGGAAACGAUGUGGGAAGGCACAGACAGCCAGGAUGUUGGCUUAGAAGCAGCCAUCAUUUAAAGAAAGCGUAAUAGCUCACUGGUCGAGUCGGCCUGCGCGGAAGAUGUAACGGGGCUAAACCAUGCACCGAAGCUGCGGCAGCGACACUAUGUGUUGUUGGGUAGGGGAGCGUUCUGUAAGCCUGCGAAGGUGACCUGUGAGGGUUGCUGGAGGUAUCAGAAGUGCGAAUGCUGACAUAAGUAACGAUAAAGCGGGUGAAAAGCCCGCUCGCCGGAAGACCAAGGGUUCCUGUCCAACGUUAAUCGGGGCAGGGUGAGUCGACCCCUAAGGCGAGGCCGAAAGGCGUAGUCGAUGGGAAACAGGUUAAUAUUCCUGUACUUGGUGUUACUGCGAAGGGGGGACGGAGAAGGCUAUGUUAGCCGGGCGACGGUUGUCCCGGUUUAAGCAUGUAGGCUGAUUGUCCAGGCAAAUCCGGAUAAUCAAGGCUGAGGUGUGAUGACGAGGCACUACGGUGCUGAAGUAACAAAUGCCCUGCUUCCAGGAAAAGCCUCUAAGCAUCAGGUAACAUUAAAUCGUACCCCAAACCGACACAGGUGGUCAGGUAGAGAAUACCAAGGCGCUUGAGAGAACUCGGGUGAAGGAACUAGGCAAAAUGGUGCCGUAACUUCGGGAGAAGGCACGCUGGUGUGUAGGUGAAGCCCCUGCGGGUGGAGCUGAGACCAGUCGAAGAUACCAGCUGGCUGCAACUGUUUAUUAAAAACACAGCACUGUGCAAACACGAAAGUGGACGUAUACGGUGUGACGCCUGCCCGGUGCCGGAAGGUUAAUUGAUGGGGUUAUCCGUAAGGAGAAGCUCUUGAUCGAAGCCCCGGUAAACGGCGGCCGUAACUAUAACGGUCCUAAGGUAGCGAAAUUCCUUGUCGGGUAAGUUCCGACCUGCACGAAUGGCGUAAUGAUGGCCAGGCUGUCUCCACCCGAGACUCAGUGAAAUUGAACUCGCUGUGAAGAUGCAGUGUACCCGCGGCAAGACGGAAAGACCCCGUGAACCUUUACUAUAGCUUGACACUGAACAUUGAGCCUUGAUGUGUAGGAUAGGUGGGAGGCUUUGAAGCGUGGACGCCAGUCUGCGUGGAGCCAACCUUGAAAUACCACCCUUUAAUGUUUGAUGUUCUAACGUUGGCCCCUGACCGGGGUUGCGGACAGUGUCUGGUGGGUAGUUUGACUGGGGCGGUCUCCUCCCAAAGCGUAACGGAGGAGCACGAAGGUUAGCUAAUCCUGGUCGGACAUCAGGAGGUUAGUGCAAUGGCAUAAGCUAGCUUGACUGCGAGCGUGACGGCGCGAGCAGGUGCGAAAGCAGGUCAUAGUGAUCCGGUGGUUCUGAAUGGAAGGGCCAUCGCUCAACGGAUAAAAGGUACUCCGGGGAUAACAGGCUGAUACCGCCCAAGAGUUCAUAUCGACGGCGGUGUUUGGCACCUCGAUGUCGGCUCAUCACAUCCUGGGGCUGAAGUAGGUCCCAAGGGUAUGGCUGUUCGCCAUUUAAAGUGGUACGCGAGCUGGGUUUAGAACGUCGUGAGACAGUUCGGUCCCUAUCUGCCGUGGGCGCUGGAGAAUUGAGGGGGGCUGCUCCUAGUACGAGAGGACCGGAGUGGACGCAUCACUGGUGUUCGGGUUGUCAUGCCAAUGGCACUGCCCGGUAGCUAAAUGCGGAAGAGAUAAGUGCUGAAAGCAUCUAAGCACGAAACUUGCCCCGAGAUGAGUUCUCCCUGAGACUUUAAGUCUCCUGAAGGAACGUUAAAGACGAUGACGUUGAUAGGCCGGGUGUGUAAGCGCAGCGAUGCGUUGAGCUAACCGGUACUAAUGAACCGUGAGGCUUAACCUU
rnacentral:rRNA from 1 species